UCGAAAAGGUCUGUGGAAUGUUUGGAUAAUGAACUCUUGAAAAGGGUGUAAUUGCUGUCAGGUGUUUUCAGUCAGUUCAGGUGUGGCACCCCACCAUAAACAAAACUGCACAAUAUUAAUUACCUGCUGUUCAAAAGAAAUACGGGCUUAUGAAAAAUAUUUCAAAGGAGCUGAGAAGACAUUUUGGAUUGAAAGAUUUGGGCCUUCAUCAGUCUGCUGUUGUAUAUCUCACCAGAAGCAAAUACUUUGAAAGCGAGGACCGUUUCGGGAGCUCAGAGAGCACGUUGGUGGCGAGCAUCUUUUAGCACCCUGCCCAGAUGGAGCACGAUGAUCGGAUGUGGGGGAGCCACCAAUAAAUAUAUUUCCACAUUUAAACUACGAAAGAGGAAAGGAGUGUCGAUCAAAGAGCCAGAUCUCCGAGACCGGGUGUACCUAGGGAGUAAAGUUGGAGGACGAGUAAGACUAUCGGGCUGG